AGGCAGACACUGAACAACUGAGCCACCCAGAGAAAAUUAGGUAACAGACAUGCACAGAAGAAAGAAGACAAUGUGAAGACACAGAUGAUGAUCAUCUACAAGCUAAGGAGAGAGACCUCAGGAGAAACCACUGCUAACACAUUAAUCUCAGAUUUGUAGCCUCCAGAAUUGUGAGAAAAUAAAUUUCGGUUGUUUAAGCCA